rnacentral:tRNA from 2 species
GGCGCGUUCGUCUAGUGGCUUAGGACGCCGCCCUCUCAAGGCGGAGAUCACGGGUUCGAAUCCCGUACGCGCUACCA